rnacentral:rRNA from 1 species
UACAGAGGGGGCAAGCGUUGUCCGGAAUUACUGGGCGUAAAGCGCGUGUAGGUGGUGGGACAAGUCUGCUGUGAAAGCGCCUGGCUUAACCGGGCGAGGUCGGCGGAAACUGUCGCACUCGAGGACGGUAGAGGGGGGUGGAAUUCCCGGUGUAGUGGUGAAAUGCGUAGAGAUCGGGAGGAACACCUGUGGCGAAGGCGGUCCCCUGGGCCGGCCCUGACACUGAGACGCGAAGGCGUGGGGAGCGAACGGG